rnacentral:rRNA from 1 species
AGAUCCAUUCUCUGCCACCGAAUACAUUAGCAUGGGAUAAUGGAAUAGGACCCUGUCCUCCUAUUUUCAGUUGGUUUUGGCAGCGCGAGGACUAGGGUAAUGAUUAAUAGGGAUAGUUGGGGGCAUUAAUAUUUAAUUGUCAGAGGUGAAAUUCUUGGAUUUAUGAAAGAUUAACUUCUGCGAAAGCAUCUGCCAAGGAUGUUUUCAUUAAUCAAGAACGAAAGUUAGGGGAUCGAAGACGAUCAGAUACCGUCGUAGUCUUAACCAUAAACGAUGCCGACCAGCGAUUAGGAGACGUUGAAUACAAAACACCACCAUCGGUGCGGCUGUUCUUGGCGUCGGUUUCGGCCGGCGCGGGG